AUUGAACGCUGGCGGCAGGCCUAACACAUGCAAGUCGAGCGCGCGGCGGACGGGUGAGAAAUGUGUGGGGAUCUGCCCGAUAGCGGGGGAUAACUACUGGAAACGGUGGCUAAUACCGCAUACCUUCGGAUGAACCCAGGUUGGAUUAGCUAGUAGGUGGGGUAAAGGCUCACCUAGGCGACGAUCGCUAGCUGGUCUGAGAGGAUGAUCAGCCACACUGGGACUGAGACACGGUCCAGACUCCUACGGGAGGCAGCAGUGGGGAAUAUUGCACAAUGGGCGCAAGCCUGACGCAGCCAUGCCGCGUGUAUGAAGAAGGCCUUCGGGUUGUAAAGUACUUUCAGCGGGGAGGCGUUACCCGCAGAAGAAGCACCGGCUAACUCCGUGCCAGCAGCCGCGGUAAUAC
rnacentral:rRNA from 1 species